rnacentral:rRNA from 1 species
UACUCCUACGGGAGGCAGAGUAGGGAAUCUUCCACAAUGGGGGAAAGCCUGAUGGAGCCAAGCCGCGUGAGCGAAGAAGGUCUUCGGAUCGUAAAGGUAUAAGUAAGGGAAGAACUAGACUCAGCAGUCUGCUGGACUGAGGCCCUGACGGGUA